rnacentral:rRNA from 1 species
GAGCACGUAGGUGGGUUUGUCGCGUCUGCUGUGAAAUCCCGAGGCUCAACCUCGGGCUUGCAGUGGGUACGGGCAGACUAGAGUGCGGUAGGGGAGAUUGGAAUUCCUGGUGUAGCGGUGGAAUGCGCAGAUAUCAGGAGGAACACCGAUGGCGAAGGCAGAUCUCUGGGCCGUAACUGACGCUGAGGAGCGAAAGGGUGGGGAGCAAACAGGCUUAGAUACCCUGGUAGUCCACCCCGUAAACGUUGGGAACUAGUUGUGGGGUCCUUUCCACGGAUUCCGUGACGCAGCUAACGCAUUAAGUUCCCCGCCUGGGGAGUACGGCCGCAAGGCUAAAACUCAAAGGAAUUGACGGGGACCCGCACAAGCGGCGGAGCAUGCGGAUUAAUUCGAUGCAACGCGAAGAACCUUACCAAGGCUUGACAUACACGAGAACGGGCCAGAAAUGGUCAACUCUUUGGACACUCGUGAACAGGUGGUGCAUGGUUGUCGUCAGCUCGUGUCGUGAGAUGUUGGGUUAAGUCCCGCAACGAGCGCAACCCUCGUUCUAUGUUGCCAGCACGUAAUGGUGGGAACUCAUGGGAUACUGCCGGGGUCAACUCGGAGGAAGGUGGGGAUGACGUCAAAUCAUCAUGCCCCUUAUGUCUUGGGCUUCACGCAUGCUACAAUGGCCGGUACAAUGGGCUGCAAUACCGAGAGGUGAAGCGAAUUA